AGUAAAACUAAGAGCAUAGUACAAGACACAGAGGUCUAACAAAAUAAAACCAGAAAAUCCUUGAGAACAAGGUACAAGACAAUACCAAGGAGGCUAGACUAAAAUAAUGACUCAAAACACCAAAAGAAGCUAGAAUACAGGGGGAACAAACAGAGCUGAAGAAAACCUGGACUGUAAACUGCAGACUACAAAACUCAAACCCAUUCGAGAAAAUCAAAAUGAACAGGCAAUCUGGGAGGAUUACAUUAUACAGUCUGUGCCCCUCUGUCUGACCUCGCUCACAACCAGAAUGGGACCCAAGUUGUGCAACCCGAGGGGGGCUUGCUGCCAGCAGGCUCUUGAUGACUUUUUAUAAAUUCAUCUCUCAAGUCGCACUUCAUGUACCAAAGGUCCCUGACGUCAUUCGGCUCCAUCACCAGUCUUCUUCUUACAUAAACCUAAAGGCCAGUGCAGCGGAGAAACUUAAAUCCUUCUCAAAGACCAAAGCUCUUUAGCUUUUUCCCGACUGAGUUGAUGCACGACUGAAUGCACAAUCGACAACCGACGCUGAUGUCAAAUGACCUGAGGAACUGCAGUCAAUGAAUGGAGUGGCUUUUAUUCCUGAGUAGCCUUUAGUGAAGUUGUUUUCUGUACAUCUAUGUGAGGGGUUUGUCUUUUCAUUCCUCUCUGACUCUGCUUGCAAAGGAAGGAUCAGACCCUAGGCUAUGCUGCCUUACUCAGAUGGCGGAGUUGCAUAAGAAGUGAGUGCUGGACUGAAUCUGGGUUAAUGCUACUCCCGCUUCACCGAAGUGACAGUGCAAAGUCAGAGAUAAGAAAUGAGAUCUUCUUAUAUGAACAGGAAUCAAAUCUCAGACCUGAUCUCAUAACAGCAAGUGUGUGCUUCCUGUAAAUCCUUGAUGUAACCUUGAAAUCAUCACUGAUAAAAUCAACUAGAUGUGCAAAGACAAAAAAACCCCUGAGUAUUAAAAGUCUGUUUGAUAUUUAAUUACCAAAGGUUUGCACAUAUCUUGGUUUACUUUCUUUCUUGGUCUGAGUUUCUUUGUAAAUGUAAUUUUAAUGAUUACUUCACUUUUUUUUAAGAAUAAUAAACAAAGGUUACAUUGGAAAAUAAACAGUAAGUUCACUUAUUGGACUGCCUCCUCCAGUUCACAUGUCAAGAGUGUCCUUGGGCAACAUAUCAAAAUACCCCCAAAACUGCCCACUAAU